GAGACGUUAGUAAAACAAUUACAUAGCCUUGUCAAGACUAAAUUGCAAGUUAAACUCUUGCACGCCUCU
rnacentral:tRNA from 1 species